rnacentral:rRNA from 1 species
UACGGAGGGUGCAAGCGUUGUUCGGAAUCGCUGGGCGUAAAGCGCGUGUAGGCGGCCUUCUCAGUCUGGUGUGAAAGCCCGGGGCUCACCCCCGGAAGUGCAUUGGAUACUGGAAGGCUGGAGUACCGGAGAGGAGGGUGGAAUUCCUGGUGUAGCGGUGAAAUGCGUAGAUAUCAGGAGGAGCACCAAUAGCGAAGGCAGCUCGCUGGGACGUUACUGACACUGAGGCGCGAAAGCGUGGGGAGCGAACAGG